CCUACGGGUGGCUGCAGUGAGGAAUAUUGGUCAAUGGUCGGGAGACUGAACCAGCCAAGCCGCGUGAGGGAUGAAGGUACAGAGUAUCGUAAACCUCUUUUGUCAGGGAACAAAGGCGGGGACGCGUCUCCGGGUGAGUGUACCUGAAGCAAAAGCAUCGGCUAACUCCGUGCCAGCAGCCGCGGUAAUACGGGGGAGGCGAGCGUUAUCCGGAGUUAGUGGGUUCAAAGGGUGCGCCGGCGGUCUGUUAAGUCAGCGGUCAAAGCCCGGGGCUCAACCCCGGCCAGCCGUUGACACUGGCAGUCUCGAGUUGGAGAGAAGUAUGCGGAAUGCGCGGUGUAGCGGUGAAAUGCAUAGAUAUCGCGCAGAACUCCGAUUGCGAAGGCAGCAUGCCGGCUCCACACUGACGCUGAGGCACGAAAGCGUGGGUAUCGAACAGGAUUAGAUACCCUUGUAGUC
rnacentral:rRNA from 1 species